GGGGGAGGUAGCAGGCAGUGGCUGAGGGGGUGGUAUGGACGGCCUGCAAAGUGGAGGAGGGCCUGUAUCUGGCGGCGAUGGAGGUCUGUUGAGAGUAACAGGCACCUGGUCAGCACCUGGAGAGUGGCCAGGGCUCUUUGGGUCACGUUUUCUUGGAGAGGCAGCAGCGGGGGUUGCUACUGGACCCCAUGUCUGUGUAGGGACAAUAGGUGGGCCUCUGGGACAGGCGGGAACCACCUCCCCAGCCCCACAUCCAGAUGGGGGUUCACAUGUCAGGUUCAGCAGACAAGCAGGAGACAGUGCUGGCGGAUCUGUCUUCCACGUGGGGAGGUAUGAAGUGACCACCCUUCCUGGUGAAAUCUGAAAGCCCUUACCUUCUAGGUUGGAGUAUGUUUCAAGAUCUGAGCAGCUAUUCAGCUGUUAGGCGCUGGGUGAAAAAGGUGGGUCCAAUUGAGGGGCAGUGAGAAGACUUCAGGCCUGGGACUGGAAUGCUACGUGGGUUCCAAGGCCAUGUUCAGUGGGUCUGAGGGAAGGAGGACUUCCAAGGAAAGGACCAGGAGGAGGAGUGGCUGAAGUCUGGUCAUCCCCUCCCUGCCCCACGGCCAUCUUCUUUUAUUCUCUGGCGCCGGCAGCUGGCCUUUAUGACAUCAAGGUCUUCAGCCAGUCACAGUGCUUGCCCUGUGCUGUCACCAUGGACCCUCCAAGGCAAUUUGUGGAGGAAAGCACCUUUGCUACCAGUGUAGAUAUGUACCUCUCUGCUCUUGCUGGUUAAUGUGCCUGGGCAAGGGCAAUUGUUUUAGUCCUGUGAACUUUAAUUUCUGGGAAAUUUAAUUUUGAGGAACGGUCUUUGUUUUUAAGGGUGAAUUUAUUUCUGCAUUUUGUAAAGAUGUCUUUUUGAAAAAAAUAUCUAUGCAAGGGAAUUGCUAACAACAGGAUUUAAGUGUACGCUGAAAGGACUGAGAGCAGCAUAGUUUGGUGACAAGGAACCUCUACUAAUGUGGUCAUUUAAAAAGACUAUAUUAGGGUUGUCCAGAGAAAUGGAGGCAACAUAUGUGUGUACAUGUGUGUAUGUAGAGAGAGAGAGAGUGUGUGUUGUUAUAAGGAAUUGGCUUACAUUAUUUUGAAGGCUGAGAAGUCCAGACUCAGGAGAGCUGGUACUGUAGUUCCAGUCUACGUUGGAGGCCAAAGGCACGAGAAGACUGAUAUUCCAGGCUGAAGACAGUCAUGAGAGAUUACAGGUUUAUUAUAGAAGGAUAUAACCCAGGAACAGCCAGAUGGAAGAGGCUCACAGGGUAGCAUCCAUGCCCCGUCUGAGUGACCAGUGUGCCAGCAUUUCUACGUGUCCACCAGCCCGGAAACUCCCAACUAUGUCAAAGAGUCAGUUUGGACACGGGAAGAAAACUCUAGAUACAUUUUUCUGGAUAAACGAGGUAACUGGAGAAAUCACCUACCCCCAGCAGAAGACAGACGCACCCGCAGCGUCACCAGCUCCUCUCCAGAAGCCAGGAGAGGGACCCAGAUCUCAGCGCGGGGCCCUGCAGGGUGCUCCUCCCAGCACCCAAGGCGCGGCCGGCACACUUGCGCAGAAGGCCGCCCCUCCACCCCCUCCUAAAGCUGCACGGAAAGACGUUGGCUCUCGAAACUCCUUCCCAGCUCCGCCGCCCUAUCUCCUGGCCAAAGAUGGAGCCCUGAGCCCCUCGCCGUUCUCUGCAGUUCCUGUCACCAUCUCGCCGCCAGGAGGCGCUGGGCCACCGUUCAGCCCGCUUGGGCCAGCCCUUCUGCCGCAAGCCUCUGCCUUUCCUCCCAGCCCUUCAGGCCCCUGGGGCUUCACCUGCAAGCUGAAAAACAUCCUUACUGGGAAUAACCGAUUUUCCUUUUGAGCCUGAGCAAAUACGCCUGACCACGCCCUCCAAGCACCUUGCUGAACCAUUGUCGCCUGGCACCAGUACUCCUUCACGCCAUAAAAGACCGGCCUGCCUACCCUAGAAGCACUAAGGACCCUUGGCAGAGUUCUUAUAAGAAUAUGCCCAGUGCUUUCAAAUCCCAUAUAAAUUUAACUUAGAUUUUGACACUUUUUUUUUGUUGUUGUUGUUUAAGAACUUCC
ensembl:lncRNA